rnacentral:rRNA from 1 species
UACGUAGGGGGCAAGCGUUGUCCGGAUUUAUUGGGCGUAAAGAGCGUGUAGGCGGCUUUACAGGUCCGUUGUGAAAACUCGAGGCUCAACCUCGAGACGCCGGUGGAAACCGUAAAGCUAGAGUCCGGAAGAGGAGAGUGGAAUUCCCGGUGUAGUGGUGAAAUGCGUAGAUAUCGGGAGGAACACCAGUGGCGAAGGCGGCUUUCUGGUCUGCUCUUGACGCUGAGGCGCGAAAGCUAGGGUAGCAAACGGG